CACCAUAAGAGGGCGCUGUCUGAUGUUUACGUUUUUAAAUUUGAAAUUAACGCAUGCCGGAAAAUUAGACAAAAGUUAUGACUCCACCGUCUAAUGUCGAAAAUAAAUGCACGAGGGGUGAAGACUUCCGAAAUGACUACAUUUCUCUGUGUUUCUACUAUAAAUUGUGUCCUUCUACAUGCAUGAAGAAAAUACAACUUGAUAAGGGAAGAUUGCAUUGCACUCUUGACCUUUUAGAUUCGUCCGUGUGGACUCCUUUACUCGAAGCCAUUGAAAUGAAUGAAAGUUUAGAAGGGAUUGUUCUGCAUAGUGAAUAUUUAAAAAAAAUGUCAGGAAAUAUUAGUGAUUGUAAUAUUUACAGAUUCUUCUUAGAAAAAUAUAGUGUGUUAAAAGGACUUCCAAUAAUCCUUAAACCAGAAUUAUUGACUAAGUUGAUUAAAUCUUUAUCAGCUUGUAUCUACAAGAAUAAAAAUUUGAAAUUUUUAGAAAUAACUGGAUUACCGCUUUCUUUGAAUCACAUGGAAUGUUUAUCAGAGGUAAUAUAUUUUUUAAUUCAUUUCUUAAGAAAAGAAGUGAUUAGAUUUGCAUGUGUUAAUAGGCACGUUAUCUAGUAAAUUGGCUUUAAUACAGCUGAAUGAGAAAUGAAUGACAUUGCCCAUUUGUUAUAAUAUAGAAAGAUAUUGUUGAAUUUGUUUGAUUCUGAAAUAUUCAAGUUUACUUUCUUUGCCAUCCUUUACAAUUGUAUACUUUUUUAAAGUUUGCCAUGCAGAUAUUAACAUGUUCUUUCUUCAUGUCUA
rnacentral:lncRNA from 1 species